rnacentral:rRNA from 3 species
AAAUUGAAGAGUUUGAUCAUGGCUCAGAUUGAACGCUGGCGGCAGGCCUAACACAUGCAAGUCGAACGGUAACAGGAAGCAGCUUGCUGCUUUGCUGACGAGUGGCGGACGGGUGAGUAAUGUCUGGGAAACUGCCUGAUGGAGGGGGAUAACUACUGGAAACGGUGGCUAAUACCGCAUAACGUCGCAAGGCCAAAGAGGGGGACCUUCGGGCCUCUUGCCAUCAGAUGUGCCCAGAUGGGAUUAGCUUGUUGGUGAGGUAACGGCUCACCAAGGCGACGAUCCCUAGCUGGUCUGAGAGGAUGACCAGCCACACUGGAACUGAGACACGGUCCAGACUCCUACGGGAGGCAGCAGUGGGGAAUAUUGCACAAUGGGCGCAAGCCUGAUGCAGCCAUGCCGCGUGUAUGAAGAAGGCCUUCGGGUUGUAAAGUACUUUCAGCGGGGAGGAAGGUGUUG